UAUCAGGUUGUAGCGAGGGUAACGUCCUCGCUAGCCUACGACGGGUAUGGGUGUUGGGAGACAUCGCCCAGAGAUGGAUUCUGAGACACGAAUCCAGGCCCUACGGGGCGCAGCAGGCGCGAAAACUGCACAAUGUGGGAAACCACGAUGCGGGAAACCCAAGUGCCAGCGCUAUGCGUUGGCUGUCCUCCAGUGUUCGUAACUGGGGAAGAAAGUGCUGGGUAAGACGGGUGCCAGCCGCCGCGGUAAUACCCGCAGCACAAGUGGUGGUCAUUAUUAUUGGGCCUAAAGCGUCCGUAGCUGGCCUGUUAGAUGCCUGGGUAAAUCGAUGCGCUCAACGUAUCGAAUUCCGGGUAGACCGGCAGGCUCGGGACCGGGAGAGGUGUAGGCUACUCGAGGGGUAGGGGUAAAAUCCUGUAAUCCUUCGGGGAGGACCAGUGGCGAAGGCGCUACACUAGAACGGCUCCGACAGUGAGGGACGAAGCCCUGGGGCGCAAACCGGAUUAGAUACCCGGGUAGUCCAGGGUGUAAACGCUGCAGACUUGGUGUC
rnacentral:rRNA from 1 species